UACGUAGGGUGCGAGCGUUGUCCGGAAUUAUUGGGCGUAAAGAGCUUAUAGGUGGCUCGUUGCGUCGGGAGUGAAAACCUGCGGCUUAACCGCAGGCCUGCUUCCGAUACGGGCGAGCUAGAGUUCGGCAGGGGAGACUGGAAUUCCUGGUGUAGCGGUGAAAUGCGCAGAUAUCAGGAGGAACACCGGUGGCGAAGGCGGGUCUCUGGGCCGAUACUGACGCUGAGGAGCGAAAGCGUGGGGAGCGAACAGG
rnacentral:rRNA from 1 species